rnacentral:lncRNA from 1 species
GAAGAUGCAAAUUUCGUUAUAAUGCAUGCCGACUAAUUGGUUGGUUAAAAGCGCGUCCAGUACACGCGCUAAACAAUCUCUCUCCCGAAGGCGAUUCAACCAACCCUAGUUUCUUCUGCUUCAAAUCGGCGGUGAACACCGUCGUUACUGGGUUUCGUCAUCAGUUCACACGCGAUUGAAGCCUCCACUACCUCCAUAUUGAAGAUCCAUCUCUCUGUAUUUCAAAAAUGGCCACUUCAGCGACUGGUUUUUUAGAUUCUCGUGACGGCGAGCUUUCUUCCACCGGUACUCCUCCUGCAACCACCGACACUCCGCUCUCUCCAACUGGCGACCCUCCUGCAGACACCGCUCUCUCUCCCACCGGCGCUCCUCCUACUUCUAUGUCUCUCAACCAUGAACUCAUGGAGGUUCAUGUUCCCUCUGCUGGCGAAUCUCCGGUGGAGUUCGACUCAGGGAAGAGACAGCGUAGCUCAGUUGAUCUCGCUCCUUCUACUGAGAUUGAUUCCACGGCUUCUCUGGCUGGUGUUACUGGCUCUCCUAAGGCUGUUGUUACUGGUUCUCCUAUUGGUGCAGUCUCUGAACUUAGAGGAGCAGAAACACCGUGUACUGAUGCCGUUCAACCUUCAAAGCAAUCAAUUCCCUUUGUUCCUUCAUUAGGAGCAUGGGCCCAGAGGAUAAAAAUCAUUCCAGAGCUAAAGGAUCCAAUACCCCAAAAUCCUCUGUUCUGUGAUUCUCCUAAGAAGCAGAGCAAGCCCGCUACCGACAUUCUCCCACCAGAGAUAAAAGAGAACGGGCAACUGCGGUUUCCGUGGGCAGAAAAGAUGGAUCCAAAAAUCCGAAAUCUUUACCGCACAACUUCGCCAACCUAUUUGGAAGACGGUACACCUAUGGUUGAGAUUCCAAACCAUGUUCUGAUGCAAGGGCUUGAGAAUCAAAAAGAAUAUGUCAUUGGACAGUUCUCUCGAUGUUCUUUGCCUCCGGGAGGUCUCAUUCACGCAGUGGCUAAUCGAAUUUGGGGCAAUAAGUGUAAGAUUUUCUCUCGAAAGUUAGGAGAUUCCUCUGUUCUGUUUCAUAUUCCAGACGAAUCAACUAGAGCUUGGGUGUUAGAGAGAAGGUUAUGGCAAUUUGAUGGUUGCAUUAUGUUUGUUGUUCCUUGGUCCCCUGCUCCUUCCUUAGCCGACUUACCUGAGAUAACUACAAUUCCUUUAUGGGUCACUUUGAAAAACAUUCCACACUGCCUAUAUUCUUUAUGGGGAAUAAGUUGGAUAGCUUCCGGGUUAGGAGCACCUAUGCUCUCUAACAAGCCAUGGUUAGAUCCUACUUUCAUGGGAGAGGCUAAGUUAAUGGUGGAAGUGGAAUUAGAAAAAGCUUUCCCGCAGAGAAUUGCAGCUACUGAUAAACAAGGCAAUGUUUCCAUGGUUUCAGUUGAGUACUCAUGGAUUCCAAAUAAGUGUGAGAAAUGUGGUCAUUUCGGCCAUAAAAAAUCAAGAUGUCUGCAGUCUGAAUCAUUGGAUCUGGGAUUCACUGCAUCUAAUCAGGUUGUGAAAGAAGUGGGUCUAGCACCUACCGAAGCUGUUACUCCCGUUGCUGCUUAUGAUAAACUUUCAACAUUACCUCUUACUAAUACUCAUGAGGAAGUAGCUUCUGAUACUCCAACUCUUCCAAGUUCAGAAACAGAACUUGAAGCCACAACUCCAUUUGAACUUGUUGCAUCUGAAGCAACAUCACCUGCUGCUGCGUUUCAAAGCGUCAUCCCUACCCUGCCUCCUGCUGUUGCAGCUGAUGCAACUUCUCUUGCUGCGUUUCAAAGCGCCAUCAUCCGUACCCCUCCUCCUGCUGUUGCAUCUAAUGCAACUUCCCCUGCUGCGUUUCAAAGCGCCAUCCAUACCCCAUCUCAUGGCUCAUCUCCUGCUUUGGUAACUUUCUCUUCUACUUCUUCAGAUUUAGUGACUGAGAAUGUUGAAGGAGGUGUCUUUGGUAGCCAUUUUGCUGCAUUACAUUCAGAGUUUUCAGGGUUUGAAAUGGGAGAUCCUUCUCAAAGGACUCGAGGAGGUCGACCAAUUAAACCAACACAAAAAGUUCAAGAAAUGCAGUGGACUUUAGUAGGAGGAAGAAAAAAUAGAGGCCGUGGCGGUCGUGGCGGUCAAAGAGAUCAUAGACCUCCAUUUUAAACGCCUCUAAAUCUCAGGUUUCUGUCAUCAUGCUCCGUGCAUGCAUUGGAAAACUCCCAUCUUAACCAAGUACUAAGUUACUUUGUAACUUCUUCUAUAAUUUCUCAUAUAUCUGUUUCAGAUAUAUGUUUUCUCAAUUGUAAGAUGUUAUUAUCGAACAAUUGUAAACCUUGGUUACUUUUAUUUUAAUGCAUCAAAUUUAGUCAAAAAAAAAAAAGACUAAUUGGUUGGUUAAGGCAAUAUAAUUCAAAAGGAUAGCACUUUCGUACAAACUUACACCACAGUUCUAACCUUCUUGACAUGCCCUUUUGCUAUCUCAAUGGGUUUUCUCUUUGGCCUUCGAUUAUAUAUAUAGUUUGCAUAAUUUUCGUCAUUCCGGAUGUCACAAUGGGAAAUUGAGAGACUUCAUUGGAUCGAGAUACGAGUGGAGUAUAGAUCCCAAGCAAGACAAAUACACACCUAAUCGAUUUUGUUUAAUUGGCCAGUCUGAGCGUAAACGUAAUUAAUCAAAGAACAUCACCUAGAUGAAUUUAGUAAGUAUAAACCUACUCUAUCAUACCAGUACGUAGUACCUUUGUACAUGUGUUUAUUAUAAACUACGAUACUAAUAUUUACGUAAUGCGCGAGGUUUAAUUAAAACUAUAAAUUUGCGCAGUCCUAUGAUUUUAAAUAAACUUAGAGAUAUUAUUUAAUCAAAGAUGAACUACUACAUUCAUUGAAUACAAAUUUUAUAUGAUUUAAUCAAGCUGAAAAGGCCAUGGGAACUGAGUUUAAGUGUGAGGUCAAUAAAAAGUAAAAAGGAGAGACGUUAGUAGGCUUUCUAGUGCCUAUAGUUUAGCCUAGGCGUUAGAACUCUUUUUUAUAGCUCUCUUUACGCUUAAGUCUAAACCGUCUUCUUUGAAAAUUUACUUAUGCGAUCAGUGUCAUAAAAAACUACACUAAAGCGAUGCUAUGUUUAACUUUAGUAACCCUAGCAAAAAACAGUAAGGAAUUCUGAAGUCUCCCACCAACUGGUAAUAUUAUUUGUUAAAUGAACGAUUUGGUAGAAUGAAAGAAGAUAUUCAGCAGAAUUAAAAGUGUUCCUUCAAAGUUAAUCCCGUAAACUUGAUUACUAAUCUCUUGCUAAUUCAUUUAACAUUUUUUGCAAUAAGAUUUAUUUGUUAUUGUGCUGAUUAAAUUUGGAUAAUGGCAACAAUUCUACAAACCACUAGACUGCAUUUUCUGAUAAGCUUAAUCAACAACUGCUUAUAAAAAUACAAAUACAAUUAAGAUGGAUCUAUCGGUAAUCACAAGCCCACUAGGCACUCAGCUCCACUUAUCUAAUAAUAUCCCUUUUAUCCCCCACUCCUUUUUGUUCUUUUUCCGCUCACGAGACACUCGUGGGGAAGAAUGACUUCUAGCUAUUUAAAACAAUAUUUCAAGGGAAUUUCACACUGGCCGGUUCAUUUGCUUUACUUAAAAUACGAUAAAGAAAAGGAAAAACAAAGUAAUGAAUAAUUAAUCGUGCUAAGUAUUCUAAUAGCAAUGGGGUAGCUAAUUUUUAUAUUACUAUUUUGUAAUUAUUACUCUUUGAAAUUUGAUAUUGAUGAAAAUACUGAUUAUUCCGAUACGUAACAGGGUAAGUUUACCUAUUCGGGUAAGAUCGGCUACCUAUAUAAAAUUGUGAAUAUUAACCAAUUGUAUAUGAAGGAAACACCAAAUUAUGAACUCAUGCGGCAAUAUGAAAAACGUUUACCAUUAUAUUUCGAUAUUAUAAUGAGAUUCUGCAGGGAUGAAUAACGCCACAUCAACAGCACGAAGAUGCAAAUUUCGUUAUAAUGCAUGCCGACUAAUUGGUUGGUUAAAAGCGCGUCCAGUACACGCGCUAAACAAUCUCUCUCCCGAAGGCGAUUCAACCAACCCUAGUUUCUUCUGCUUCAAAUCGGCGGUGAACACCGUCGUUACUGGGUUUCGUCAUCAGUUCACACGCGAUUGAAGCCUCCACUACCUCCAUAUUGAAGAUCCAUCUCUCUGUAUUUCAAAAAUGGCCACUUCAGCGACUGGUUUUUUAGAUUCUCGUGACGGCGAGCUUUCUUCCACCGGUACUCCUCCUGCAACCACCGACACUCCGCUCUCUCCAACUGGCGACCCUCCUGCAGACACCGCUCUCUCUCCCACCGGCGCUCCUCCUACUUCUAUGUCUCUCAACCAUGAACUCAUGGAGGUUCAUGUUCCCUCUGCUGGCGAAUCUCCGGUGGAGUUCGACUCAGGGAAGAGACAGCGUAGCUCAGUUGAUCUCGCUCCUUCUACUGAGAUUGAUUCCACGGCUUCUCUGGCUGGUGUUACUGGCUCUCCUAAGGCUGUUGUUACUGGUUCUCCUAUUGGUGCAGUCUCUGAACUUAGAGGAGCAGAAACACCGUGUACUGAUGCCGUUCAACCUUCAAAGCAAUCAAUUCCCUUUGUUCCUUCAUUAGGAGCAUGGGCCCAGAGGAUAAAAAUCAUUCCAGAGCUAAAGGAUCCAAUACCCCAAAAUCCUCUGUUCUGUGAUUCUCCUAAGAAGCAGAGCAAGCCCGCUACCGACAUUCUCCCACCAGAGAUAAAAGAGAACGGGCAACUGCGGUUUCCGUGGGCAGAAAAGAUGGAUCCAAAAAUCCGAAAUCUUUACCGCACAACUUCGCCAACCUAUUUGGAAGACGGUACACCUAUGGUUGAGAUUCCAAACCAUGUUCUGAUGCAAGGGCUUGAGAAUCAAAAAGAAUAUGUCAUUGGACAGUUCUCUCGAUGUUCUUUGCCUCCGGGAGGUCUCAUUCACGCAGUGGCUAAUCGAAUUUGGGGCAAUAAGUGUAAGAUUUUCUCUCGAAAGUUAGGAGAUUCCUCUGUUCUGUUUCAUAUUCCAGACGAAUCAACUAGAGCUUGGGUGUUAGAGAGAAGGUUAUGGCAAUUUGAUGGUUGCAUUAUGUUUGUUGUUCCUUGGUCCCCUGCUCCUUCCUUAGCCGACUUACCUGAGAUAACUACAAUUCCUUUAUGGGUCACUUUGAAAAACAUUCCACACUGCCUAUAUUCUUUAUGGGGAAUAAGUUGGAUAGCUUCCGGGUUAGGAGCACCUAUGCUCUCUAACAAGCCAUGGUUAGAUCCUACUUUCAUGGGAGAGGCUAAGUUAAUGGUGGAAGUGGAAUUAGAAAAAGCUUUCCCGCAGAGAAUUGCAGCUACUGAUAAACAAGGCAAUGUUUCCAUGGUUUCAGUUGAGUACUCAUGGAUUCCAAAUAAGUGUGAGAAAUGUGGUCAUUUCGGCCAUAAAAAAUCAAGAUGUCUGCAGUCUGAAUCAUUGGAUCUGGGAUUCACUGCAUCUAAUCAGGUUGUGAAAGAAGUGGGUCUAGCACCUACCGAAGCUGUUACUCCCGUUGCUGCUUAUGAUAAACUUUCAACAUUACCUCUUACUAAUACUCAUGAGGAAGUAGCUUCUGAUACUCCAACUCUUCCAAGUUCAGAAACAGAACCUGAAGCCACAACUCCAUUUGAACUUGUUGCAUCUGAAGCAACAUCACCUGCUGCUGCGUUUCAAAGCGUCAUCCCUACCCUGCCUCCUGCUGUUGCAGCUGAUGCAACUUCUCUUGCUGCGUUUCAAAGCGCCAUCAUCCGUACCCCUCCUCCUGCUGUUGCAUCUAAUGCAACUUCCCCUGCUGCGUUUCAAAGCGCCAUCCAUACCCCAUCUCAUGGCUCAUCUCCUGCUUUGGUAACUUUCUCUUCUACUUCUUCAGAUUUAGUGACUGAGAAUGUUGAAGGAGGUGUCUUUGGUAGCCAUUUUGCUGCAUUACAUUCAGAGUUUUCAGGGUUUGAAAUGGGAGAUCCUUCUCAAAGGACUCGAGGAGGUCGACCAAUUAAACCAACACAAAAAGUUCAAGAAAUGCAGUGGACUUUAGUAGGAGGAAGAAAAAAUAGAGGCCGUGGCGGUCGUGGCGGUCAAAGAGAUCAUAGACCUCCAUUUUAAACGCCUCUAAAUCUCAGGUUUCUGUCAUCAUGCUCCGUGCAUGCAUUGGAAAACUCCCAUCUUAACCAAGUACUAAGUUACUUUGUAACUUCUUCUAUAAUUUCUCAUAUAUCUGUUUCAGAUAUAUGUUUUCUCAAUUGUAAGAUGUUAUUAUCGAACAAUUGUAAACCUUGGUUACUUUUAUUUUAAUGCAUCAAAUUUAGUCAAAAAAAAAAAA